rnacentral:rRNA from 2 species
ACGACUCUCGGCAACGGAUAUCUUGGCUCUCGCAUCGAUGAAGAACGUAGCGAAAUGCGAUACUUGGUGUGAAUUGCAGAAUCCCGUGAACCAUCGAGUCUUUGAACGCAAGUUGCGCCCGAGGCUAUCCGGCCGAGGGCACGCCUGCCUGGGCGUCACGCC